rnacentral:rRNA from 1 species
GAUCAUUGUCGAACCUUCCCAGCAGAACGACCUGCGAACAUGUUGUUAAAGCACGGGGAUGCGUCGGGCGUCGCCCGAUGCUUUCCUCUCGGGGGGUAGGGUGCGGGGCAGAGGGCCCGUUCCAUCCUCCGGCGCCUCGCCUCCCCACGAACAAACCCCGGUGCGAGAUGCGCCAAGGAAUCGUGAGAAAAAAAGAAACGCGCACCCGUCGCACGUGCGGCGCGUUCUUCUUGAAAAACAAAACGACUCUCGGCAACGGAUAUCUCGGCUCUCGCAUCGAUGAAGAACGUAGCGAAAUGCGAUACUUGGUGUGAAUUGCAGAAUCCCGUGAACCAUCGAGUCUUUGAACGCAAGUUGCGCCCAAUGCCUUCGGGCCGAGGGCACGUCUGCCUGGGUGUCAUGCAUCGUCGCCCCAGCCCACUCCUUCCCCGGGAGAGGGGAACGGGGCGGAAAUUGGCCUCCCGUGCGCUCCCGCUCGCGGUUGGCCCAAAUACGAGUCGUUGUCGGCGAGAGCCACGGCAAGCGGUGGUUGAAUCGACCUUCGGAGAAUGCCGCGGGCGAAGCCAGGCACAAGGCUUCUAGACCCUGUUCCUCCCCACAGCGACCCCUAG